rnacentral:tRNA from 2 species
GCCGCCUUAGCUCAGGGGUAGAGCAUUCGCAUGGUAAGCGAAAGGUCUCGGGUUCAAAUCCCGAAGGCGGCUCCA